rnacentral:rRNA from 1 species
AUACGGAGGACGCGAGCGUUAUCCGGAUUCAUUGGGUUUAAAGGGUGCGCAGGCGGCCGUGCAAGUCAGCGGUGAAAGCCCGGGGCUCAACCCCGGAAGUGCCGUUGAUACUGCGUGGCUGGAAUGCGGUCGAGGCGGGCGGAACGUGGGGUGUAGCGGUGAAAGGCGUAGAUAUUGCACAGAACGCCGAUAGCGGAGGCAGCUCGCCAGGCCUGCAUUGACGCUCGGGCACGAAAGCGUGGGGAUCGAACAGGAUUAGAUACCCUGGUAGUCCACGCCGUAAACGAUGGGCGCUCGUCGUCGGCGACAGACAGUCGGCGGCCAAGCGAAAGCGAUAAGCGCCCCACCUGGGGAGUACGGUCGCAAGGCUGAAACUCAAAUGAAUUGACGGGA